rnacentral:lncRNA from 1 species
AUGGGUCGCUAUGGGAAAGAGUCCGAUGAUCACGACUACAGGGACAUGGACUAUCGUGGCUAUGGGCAAGAAAAUAGACUGAAUAGCAACUUAACAAAUGUAAGACAGCACGAGCCUGAUAGUAGUUUUGAAGGUUUGAGAGAUUUCGCCUCGGGUAAUUUCUCAAAUAAUCGACCAAUAUUCAGACAAAAGGAAAACCAUGGAUCCAAAAACAGCCAACUUGGAAAAGGUCUCCUCCAAAGUCCUCCAAAUGAGAAUAUCCACUCGAGACUCCGGCAAGAUGAUAAGGAUUAUGAGUUUGACCCAGAGACUGAUGCACACAGGAGAGAUAUGCAGAUAUUUAUAUCAGGACAGAAGGUCUAUCAGGAUGAACAAACCCCAGAUGAGGGUGAAGAAAAUGAGGACAGCACCUGGGGCAGAGUUAGAGGGAGGCACAACUCUCAAGGCAAAUACAGUGCGGAAGUGAGAACUGAGGAAGACAAACAUAUCAGACAUUCUGCACACAAACAAGGGUUUCCUGGCCAAUCCCAACUAACUAGGAACAAAAUGGGAGAUGGAAGCUUUCAUCAUGCUCUGGAAAUAAGCCAGGAGGAGCCAGAACCCUGUGACCAGGACUACAGGUCUGAUACAGAACAGGUCCAAAAACCCAGCAACAUUGUCAUGCUGAGAAUGCUCCCACCAAAUGCAACUGUUAACGAGGUUUGUCUCACUUUUAUUUCUUGAUAUGAAUACAGUAACCAUAUCAGUAAGCAUCUGUGUCAUAGCGUUACAACAGAAAACAAAACAAAAGUAGAACUGCAUUUACUUUGCAAUAGAAAUCUGUGUGACAGUUGGUGUUCGUUUGCACCAUAGACUUACAUUGUACAUUAUCAAUAGUUUUUAAAAACUGUGGAAUAGGUUGACUUCUGGUGCAAUACAUAUAAUGCUGCAAAUUACAGAUUUUAAAGAAAGAGUUCUGAAAAAAAAUUAAAUGUUCAAUUGCUAAAAAUGUAGUCAGCCUCAGGCAAUGUUGAUGUUGAUUAGUUUAUUUCUUCUUUGGAACAGUUUGGUAAAAAUGUAACAUUACUAAAUUUGCUUUUGCUAUGGAUCUUCUGCAGUGAAUGGGUGCCGUCAGAAAGAGAGUCCAAACAGCUUCAUCAUGUUAGAAACAAAUACAUCAAGACAUUUUCACAUUAGCAUACUCAUUUUGCCCAAAUAUUAUAUUUGAGUUCCUGCUGUGAGGUUUGGUCUAGUUAAGUGCUGGUGUUUGAUGUUUAGAUUCGGGCUCGACUGCAGGAGCAAGGGAUCCAGCCCAGAGAGGUUCGCCUCAUGAGGAACAAGUCUUCAG